rnacentral:rRNA from 1 species
UACGUAGGGAGCAAGCGUUGUCCGGAAUCAUUGGGCGUAAAGCGCGCGUAGGUGGCCUCAUAAGUCCGCUGUGAAAGUCAAAGGCUCAACCUUUGAAAGCCGGUGGAUACUGUGAGGCUAGAGUACGGAAGAGGCGAGUGGAAUUCCUGGUGUAGCGGUGGAACGCGCAGAUAUCAGGAGGAACACCAAUAGCGAAGGCAGCUCGCUGGGACGUUACUGACACUGAGGCGCGAAAGCGUGGGGAGCGAACCGG